rnacentral:rRNA from 1 species
AGCCAGCAGCCGCGGUAAGACGGAGGGGGCAAGCGUUGUCCGGAAUUACUGGGCGUAAAGCGCGCGUAGGCGGUUAUGUACGGCGGUGGUGAAAGCUCCCGGCUCAACUGGGAGAGGCCCGCCGCAACGGCGUGACUCGAGGGUGGUAGAGGCAGACGGAAUUCCUGGUGUAGCGGUGAAAUGCGUAGAGAUCAGGAGGAACACCCGUGGCGAAGGCGGUCUGCUGGGCCAUGCCUGACGCUGAGGCGCGAAAGCGAGGGGAGCGAACGGGAUUAGAUACCCCGGUAGUCCUCGCCGUAAACGAUGGAUACUAGGUGUCAGCGGUAUCGACCCCGCUGGUGCCGGAGCUAACGCGUGAAGUAUCCCGCCUGGGGAGUACGGCCGCAAGGUUGAAACUCAAAGGAAUUGACGGGGGCCCGCACAAGAC